CAAAAUGCAUGCUUUUAGGGUUUCUCAACCUUAAUUUAAUUAUUCUUCAUCCAAUUUCCACCAAUUCAUAUCACUAAUUAGGUCCAUCUCUAAUUCAUUUGCUGGGAAAGGACAAUGGAAUACCCCGAGUGUUUAGUUGGGGUUUCGAUUUGAUUACAAUUGGUUUUAAUUUUGUCUCUGCUGCAUUCACCAUUGCUAAACCUGGGUUCUGUGCUUUGCAUGCAAGGGGCUUUUCAAAAUCAGGGAAUGAAACUGCUCUCUUCCUCUUCUUGACACCCACGUUGAUUACACUGAUCUUCAAGAGUUAAAGGAGAUUGAAAACACAUACCAAAUCAACAAAGCUAUGGUGGUGGGAAUAAUCAUUCUCAGUAAAGCGGCAAUGGAGACCCGGCAUCAGCAUUUUCAAGUCGAUCUGGGGAGGAAUUAGUGAAGGAAUGUAUAAAGAGAGGGACCGAGUUGGUUUAAGCUAUUGCGAAUAGUCUUUUCAACUCACAUUCAACUGAAGGCAUAGACGGUCCCAUUGUGCACAUGUUCGCUUCCUGAAACUAAGCUGCCAAGAUAGAAAGCAUGUUUGAUCAUGUAUAUGA